UGGUUCAUGUCUUCACUGCAGUGCU
rnacentral:piRNA from 1 species